GACUCUGAGUAUUGAAUCACUUGGCUCAUUCAUCGAUGAAGAACGCAGCUAUCUGCGAAAACUAAUGUGAAUUGCAGGACACAUUGAUUAUCGUCACUUGGAAUGCACUUUGUGGCCCCGGGUUACUCCCAGGGCUAUGCCUGUCUGAGGGUCA